UCUCUUAUUUAUUUUUUAACGUUUGUUUAUUUUUGAGAUAGAGAGUGAAUGUGUGAGCAGGGGAGGGGCAGGGAAAGAGGAAGAGAAUCCCAAGCAGGCUCUGCACUGUUAAUGCAGAGCCUGAUGUGGGGUUGAACCCAUGAGCUGUGAGAUCAUUACCUGAGCUGAAAUCAAGAGUCGGACAGUUAACCAACUGAGCCACCCAGGCAGCAGGUGCCCCUGUUUACAUCUUUUAAAUUGUAGUUACACAUGUGUAGGUUAUGUAGAUACACAGAUACAGUAUUGGUAAAAUUUUGUAUAUUCAGUACAUCACUAUAAUUAUUUGGUCCUAAUUUCAGCUGAAGAUUAUUCAGGUGUUUUAGGAUUUAGCUUUGCUUACUAUAAAAGACACCCCAAAUAAAUUUUUAAGUAGGUAGCUUACUUUUCUCAGUCCUGGCUGUUUACCUCUGGACUAUUUUCAAGUUGCUGUAUUGUCAGAGUCGAGUUUCCUCUGUGAUAGUGUUCUGUCAUCUCUAUACUAUUAAAGCAUAUAGAAGGAAUGGGAAGGUGUGAGCAGUGAUCCAUUCCUAGACCAGGACCCACAAGGUGUACUGUACUUCUGUUCACUCAUCAUUGACUUGGACUUAGUCAUGUGCCACACAAGCAGCAAGAGAGGUUGGAAAAUCAGGACAAGCAUGUGUGCAGCUACCUAUUUUUUUUUUUAAGACAGUUUUAAAUGUGUAUUUAUUUUUGAGAGAGAGUGAGCGCCUGCAUGCUUGAGCAGGGGAGGGGCAGAGAGAGAGUGGGACAGAGGAUCCAAAGUGGACUCUGCUGCCAGCAGCGAGCCCAAUACAGGGCUCAAACUCACAGUGAGAUCAUGACCUGAGCCAAAAGUUGGACACUUAACUGACUGAGCCACCCAGGUGUUCCUCUAACUACAUAUUGUGAAAGAAAAAGAAGAGGAAAUGAAUGUUUUCAAGCCAUAGGUGUCUCAGGAUAUUUAUGGCUUCUCUUUUCAUAUUUCUAAAUUUGAUAAUCCUCAGCUUAAUACAUCUGGUCCAUUAUAUACUUAAUGACAUUUUUAGUUAUAAAACAUGAUGCCCCUAAUUCAGCUGAUAAUUUUAUCAUGGCUCAUUGUAGUAUUUUUUAUAGUUGUUGAAUUGUAGGCUAAGUUGUAAUAGUUUUCAUAAAGUGCCAAGGAUUGAAUUUAUGCUUUGUUAUCUGGAUAUUUUGCAGUUUAUGCACAAAUUAUGAUAUUUUAAAUUCUAACAUGACAAUAGCCUACCUUUUUUUUUAACUUUUUUUUCUUUUACAUUUUAAAAUUUAUUUUUGAGAGAGAGGGAGAGAGGGAGAGAGAGAGAGACAGGGCACAAGUGAGGGAGGCCAGAGAGAGAGGGAGACACAGAAUCCAAAGUAGGCUCCAGGCUCUGAGCUGUCAGCACAGAGCCUGACCUGGGGCCCAGACUCACAAGCCGCGAGAUCAUGACCUGAGCCGAAGUCAGAUGCUUAACCCACUGAGCCACCCAGGCACCCCUACAACAGCCUCUUUUUAAAAAGAUUUUGUUGUUGUUGUUAUUAUUAUUAUUAUUAUUUUAAUGUUUAUUUUUGAGAGAGAGCACACAAGCAGGGGAGGGGCAGGGAGAGAGGGAGACAGGAUCCAAAGUGGGCUCUGUGCUAACAGAGAGUCCGAUGAGGGGCUCGAACUUCAUGAACCCUGAGAUCCUGACCUGAGCUGAAGUGGAUGCUUAACCGACUGAGCCACUGAAGCGUCCCCCCUGCCCCCAUCUCUUUUUUAGUUUAGAGGGAGAGGGGGAGAGAGGGAGGGAGGGAGAAUCCUAAGCAGGUUCCACGUUCAGUGCAGAGUCUGACAUGGGGCUUGAUCCCACGGCCCUGGGAUCAUGACCUGAGCUGAAAUCAAGAGUUGGAUGCUCAGCCGACUGAGCCACCCAGGUGCCCCGGUCAUGGCCUGUUUCUAUAAAGUCAUUGCUACCAGUUACACUUUUGAUGUAUACUCAACAAAUAACUGAGUAGUAGUGUGCCUUGUUCUUCAUGUAGCUAGGAAUUAACAAUUUUUUCAUAAAAAUAGGCCAUUUCUUUAAAAGGUAUUUACGGAGUUUAAUUGAAUACAGUAGAAGAGAUUUUAAGCUCAGAUUUCUCCCUUGUACUUAUAGACUGUAUUCUCUGCAUAGUGCUCUGUAUUAAUCUAUUAUAAAUGUCUUGUUCUUAGCAGUGUAUUUUUUUUUCCAGUGUUUGUUUGUUUUGAGAGAGAGUGUGCAUGCGUGCACAUGGUUUUGCAUGUACGUGGAAGGGGCAGAGAGGGGGGAGAGAGAGAAUCCCAAGCAGGCUCCAUGAUGUCAGUGCAGAGCCCAAUGCAGGGCUCCAUUUUAGGAACCUGUGAGGUCAUGACCUGAGCUGAAAUCAACAGUCAGAUGUUCAACUUACUGAGCUACCCAGGCAUCACAGAAGUACAUUUUCUAUUUAAUUUAGGGAUAUCUGCCUUUUUUUCCUCAAAUAAUUUAACCUAAAUAUUUAAUAACACAUGAAAAUCUUUUUAAGGGUUUUUUUUGUAAUAGGGUGGAACAACUUGAGAUUAUGUGAUUAUAAUUAAAGGAAAGUUCUAAAAAGCUAAAAGGGGGUGCCUGGGUGGCUCAGUCGGUUAAGCAUCCGACUUCGGCUCCGGUCAUGAUCUCACAGUCCGUGAGUUCGAGCCCCGCGUCGGGCUCUAGGCUGACAGCUCAGAACCUGGAGCCUGCUUCUGAUUCUGUGUCUCCCUCUCUUUCUGACCCUCCCCCGUUCAUGCUCUAUCUUUCUCUGUCUCAAAACUAAAUAAAUAAACAUUAAAAAAAAUUAAAAAAAGAUAUCACUCAUUCUUUAAAAAAAUAAAUAAAUAAAAAGCUAAAAGUUAUCCUAAUCUUUGUUUAAAAAAAAAUUUUUUUUUAAAACAUUUAUUUGUGUGAGACAGAACAUGAGUGGAGGAAGGGCAGAGAGCUGGGGAGGGUGGGGUUGACACAGAAUCCAAAGCAGGCUCCAGGCUCUGAGAUGUCAGUACAGAGCCCAACACGGGGCUCAAACUCAGGGACCGUGAGAUGUCGAAGUUGGAUGCUUAACUAAGUCACCCAGGCGCCCCAGUUAUCUUAAUCUUUGUAAACCUUUCUCCCUCAGAUUUCCUCUGCUAUCAUCCAUCUUUUAAAAAACUCCUUAAUGUUUAAGGGGCACCUGGGUGGCUCAGUCGAUUGAGUGUUUGACUUUGGCUCAGGUCAUGAUCUCACGGUCCGUGAGUUCGAGCCCCGCAUGGGCUGUGCACUGACCGCUCAGAGCCUGGAGCCUGCUUCAGAUUCUGCGUCUCCCUCUCUCUGGCCCUUCCCUGAUUAACUAUGUCCCUCUCUCUCUCUCUCAAAAAUAAAUAAACAUUAAAAAAAUUUUUUUAAACUCUUUAACGUUUUUUUAAAGCCAGACUUAAUUUCCCCUUUUUGAAUUGCCACUAAAGUACCACAGGCACAUGUGUGCAUGUGAUAUCUCUCUCUCUCUCUCUCUCUCUCUCUCUCUCUCUCUCUCUCUCUCUCACACACACACACACACACACACACACACACACAGUUGUGUGUUGCAGCACUUGAUUCUUUCAGAACUCAUUUCGUUGUACAGCCUGCUGAUUGAAUUACUGGUUAGAGUGUGAUUCUGUUCUCAUGAUAUCCUUGUGUGGGUAAGACUAGAUGAAUUCUAAUCAGCUUACUAUUUUUGUCCUCAUUUAGUACAUAGUCUUCUUUAAAACUCAGAAAUAAAUUUGGUACUGUUAAAAAAAUUCAUAUGGCUUAAAAGCAAUUAUCCAAUUUUUUUCCCUUUUGGGAGCCAUCUCAGUGAAGGAUAGCAUAAUAUUGUCAUUUCUUCUUAGCUUUUGGUGAAGGAAUUCUUUCCUCUGCUUUGUAAUUAUGAUUCAAUAAGCCAAUCUGUUAAGCAUGGCCUUGGCAUUAAAAUUGUAAAGACCCAAUUUUUAUCCAUUGUUCUCAUAGAAACUGGAUUCUCUCUCAUGGAUAAAUGCUCCCAUAGGUCUGUUACUGGAAUGUUUUUCCCUUAGCUCUAAUAGAGUGUUGGACUUAGGGUUCUUGUUUGUCGUGCCCCUGGAUAGUUGAAUAAAAUAGUAUGUGUUUAAGAUUACUAAGAUUGAAACAUGUUAAAAUGAUUCCAGAUCUUUAAAAUGUUGGGCCAUCUGGGUGGCUCAGUCGGUUAAGAGUCUGACUCUUGGUUUUGGCUCAGGUCAUGAUCUCACGGUUUGUGAGUUUGAGCCUGCAUCAGGCUCUGUGUGGAGCCUGCUUGGAAUUCUCUCUUUCUCCCUUUCUCUGCCCAUUCCUAUUCACAUUCUCUCUCUCUCUCAAAAUAAAUAAAUGUAAAGAAAUAUAAGGGGCGCCUUGGUGGCUCAGUUGGUUAAGCCUCCGACUUCAGAUCAGGUCACAAUCUCAUGGUUUGUGAGUUUGAGCCCCACAUCAGGCUCUGUGCUGACAGCUCAGAGCCUGGAGCCUGCUUUGGAUUCUGUCUCCCUCUCUCUCUGCCCCUUCCCCACUCACGUUCUGUCCCUGUCUAAAAUAAAUGAACAUUUUAACUUUAAAAAAUGUUACAGUGCUCCUUUUUUAGAGAGAGAGAGAGAGAGAAUCCCAAGCAGGCUCUGAGCCACAAACUGUGAGAUCAUGACCUUAGCUGAAACCAAGAGUCGGACAUUUAACCGACUGAGCCACCCAGGCACCCCAAAUGUUUGAGUGUUCUUAAGGAGCUUUCUUACUUAUUUUGUAAUAUUCUCCUUAUUAGAUUACAGCACAAACAGAACCCACAAAUAUUUUAACACAGCGAAAAGUUAAGGAAUUUGUUUAAUGUGAUAUGUCUGGUUUUUAAGCGAGAAUAAAAUUAACGAGAUUAAAGGUAAGCCUAGUGUAGUGGUGCAGUCAGAAUGACCUAGUUCAAACUUAGCUAGGUUGCUGAAUGAUAAGGAUGAUUUCAUCUUCCAUGAAAAGUCAAUUCUUAAGUGGUAUUUUUGCAGGUACUAUACACAGUCACUUUCACUGAGUGACCUUAGCAUGUGACGUAGUAUUUUUGUGUAGUCUCCAUAAACAAUUCACUUCAGUGCAUGUGCAGUUGUCAUAUAUCAUUUUGGAAUGAUGUAAAGAGCUCAGAGUCUGUCAGUGUUGUCCUUACCCCCCAACCAUUGCCCCUUGUGUGUCCAUGUGCAUGCUACCUGCAGAUUUUUUAAUUUUAAUUUUUAGAUAAUAGUAUGUAUCUUCAUCUCCUCCCUUUAUUAAACCUAUAUUAAUCACGUAAAACUUUGAAAUAAUAGUUGAGGAUCUAAUUAGAUCCACUUUCAUUUAGUUAAGUACUAAAAUGGUAAAAAGUCGGAGCGCCUGGGUGGCGCAGUCGGUUAAGCUUCCGACUUCAGCCAGGUCACGAUCUCGCGGUCCGUGAGUUCGAGCCCCGCGUCAGGCUCUGGGCUGAUGGCUCGGAGCCUGGAGCCUGUUUCCGAUUCUGUGUCUCCCCCUCUCUCUGCCCCUCCCCCGUUCAUGCUCUGUCUCUCUCUGUCCCAAAAAUAAAUAAAAAACGUUGAAAAAAAAAAAUAAAUAAAA